GAUCAUGGCUCAGGACGAACGCUGGCGGCGUGCCUAACACAUGCAAGUCGAACGGAGAGGACAUGAAGUAUUCGGUACGGAAUGCUCUCUUAGUGGCGAACGGGUGAGUAACACGUGGGCAACCUGCCCCAGACUGGGGGAUAACAUUGUGAAAACAGUGCUAAUACCGCAUGACAGGGUUCCGGGCAUCCGGGACCCUUGAAAGGAGAAAUCCGGUCAGGGAUGGGCCCGCGUCCAAUUAGCUAGUUGGCGGGGUAACGGCCCACCAAGGCGACGAUUGGUAGCCGAACUGAGAGGUUGAUCGGCCACAUUGGGACUGAGACACGGCCCAGACUCCUACGGGAGGCAGCAGUGGGGAAUAUUGGGCAAUGGGCGAAAAAGCCUGACCCAGCGACGCCGCGUGAAGGAUGAAGGUCUUCGGAUUGUAAACUUCUUUGAUCAGGGAAGAAAGAAAUGACGGUACCUGAAAAACAAGCCACGGCUAACUACGUGCCAGCCGCCGC
rnacentral:rRNA from 1 species